UGAGGAAUAUUGGGCAAUGCCUGCAAGGGUGACCCAGCAACGCCGCGUGGAGGAUGAAUGUCGUAAGAUUGUAAACUCCUGUUAGAGGGGAAGAAUAGUACCGGUUGGACCGGUAUAUGACUGUACCCUCAGAGAAAGCCCCGGCUAACUACGUGCCAGCAGCCGCGGUAAUACGUAGGGGGCAAGCGUUGUCCGGAUUUACUGGGUGUAAAGGGCGCGCAGGCGGGAUAAAAAGUCAGUGGUGAAAUCCUACAGCUUAACUGUAGAACUGCCUCUGAUACUUUUAUUCUUGAGUUCGGGAGAGAGAGACGGAAUUCCAGGUGUAGUGGUGAAAUACGUAGAUAUCUGGAAGAACACCAGUUGCGAAGGCGGUCUCUUGGUCCGACACUGACGCUGAGGCGCGAAAGCGUGGGGAGCAAACA
rnacentral:rRNA from 1 species